rnacentral:ribozyme from 1 species
ACUCGAUCAACUGCAAGAGCUCUCCCUGAGGUGUCAACCUCC